rnacentral:ribozyme from 1 species
UUCACAACUGGUUGAUGGCCUAUGCUUUUGCGAAUCUCUCGUUUUUUCGACAAGGAUAUCAGA